CAUUAGGUGGCUGAAAGAAAGUAAUGGUCUCUUAAACCACUCCAUAGUAAGUAACGUCUACUCCUAAUGA
rnacentral:tRNA from 1 species